GUCAUAAUAAUUUACAAAAAAUAUUGGUUUUGUAAACCAAAAACGGCCCCCCUUAUGACA
rnacentral:tRNA from 1 species